rnacentral:lncRNA from 1 species
GUAAGCAACGGAGACGGGGUGGGAGGGGAGCAGGCCAAUAACACUGGAAAGCGGCAUGGAUUCUUCUCCACAGGAGGAAGGAGGGAAAUGGACAGGAGGGCGGAGGGAGCUGGAGGGGUUAGUGGCUCCUGCUCCGCUGACUCCGGAGAAACAAAGCAGGGGGCCCGGGAUUGGGGGGGGGGGGAUACGGUGUGUGUGCAUGUGUGUGUUCAGAUGGAGAGAGACAGGCACGGAGGAGUUGGCGGGCAGAGACUGACUAUGGGGAACGCACUCGCUUGAUCACGUAGGCCACGGGGCUCCUGACCUUGCAGCGCCAUCUGGACACGGGAGACCCAGGGAAGCUGGUGCGGAAAUCCCAGUCUGUGCCCAAAGGCCUGAGAGCAGGAGGCAGUGCUGCCAAUUCCAUUCCAUCCGCGGGCAGGAGGCGCCACCCUGGCUGGCCCGGCAGGCUGACUGGCCAAGGGGCGAAUUCCCGCCCCCGCCCUGUGCUCUUCCCCUCUCCUGGACUGGGUGGUGCCAGCCACAGGCAGGGCAUCUGCUUUCUGGGCCCUCGCUCUGUCUCACCGGGGACACCCACAGGCACACCAGGAAUGAGGUCUCAUCCGGCAACACAGAUUUAACACACAUGCACAAAACGUGGGAUCGCCACUUGGCUAAAAGAUCUUGAAAGAAUAUCUCAGGGCCGUGCCUUACUGUGUGAGCUCCCGAAAUCAAGGUGAUGCCGCAGGUUUGCUCUGCCACAUUACCUGGCACCAACGCUGAAUGUGGCUGUGUUUGGAGACAGGUGCUGUUGCUGUCAGAGUUUGCAAGGGAAUGGAGUUAGUACAGGACACAUCGUUUACAAGAUUAUUUUACAAUGGUCACUCAAAAAGUCAAAUGCAGAGGAGCGCAAGAGAUGUCCACCUGCUAGAGACCUAGAGGCCUGGAUCCUACCGCAGUGCCCUACCUGAGACCACUCAGAGGCGUGGGGCCCAGGGCAACGUCACAGGCAAGUCCAUACAGAGAGUCGACUGGGAAUGCCGGGUGCCCGUGGUGAAGCUGGAAAGUCUGCACCUGCGGGGCGAGGGGUCAGUACACAGGCUGAGGCUCGUGUGCGCACGGUGAAGACCAGCACUCCUGGAAGAGAACAGCAGCCAUCCCAGCGACAGCGCAAGGACCCGGCUCCUCCUCCUCCUCCUUCGAGAACAGCUGACUUAGUUUCAGGAAAACCAGCCACAGCCAGCUUCUCCAGGAAGAUCAAUGGCAGCACCUUCCCGCCCAUUCUCCUGUAUGCCCUUGGCAACAGUCCUCACCCAGGUGGGUGACUCGGCUCAGCUGGGCGUUCCCACUUAGAAUGACCUUAACCACCACAGAUAGUAAACAGGCGAUUCAGCUAGGACCAGGCCUUCUCGGGUUAGGUCGAAUUCAGCUGACUGCUGUUUUGAAAAGGGCAGGACACAGGCACACCGAAGGUCCAUGAGGCAGAGAGGCUGUGGACGCCGCCCUCCUCUGGACUCGGGCAGCAGGCAGUCACCUUGUCCUUGGCGUUUUGUUACAGCAGCGCUAGAACGUUGAUAGCUGUGUUAAUUUGAUCCUUUUCUUGGCAAAAAGUCUGGAAGGUGACCAAGAUUUUUCUUCCAUUUAAAAUAUUUUCCUCUGGACUUUGGAUAUUUUUGAACUUUGACAGCUCCCAACAUGGAUGUGUACUGUGUGAGUUGGAAAUAAUUAACUCUAAGUAAAUAAUCUUUGACUUGUAAAAAUAAUUUGCAGUAGAUAAAGAAAAUGAAUUUGAUAAAUUAACUGGUGCUAGGAUAAAUGCUAUAGGUCUUCUGUUGCCUGUAAUGUACUGAGCUUGUAUCUUUUAAUUUCUAGGGUAACAGCUGAAAUUACAUAAAUAGAUUGUUACUUUAAAAUUAGUAUAGAAAAAAGAAUAGAAUGAUAAAAUAUAACACAAAAGGGCAGAAACAAACGCAAAGAUGAGAGACAAUUAGAAAGCUCCAUAAGGAGUAUAAAGUCAAAAUCAGACAUAAAAGCAUCACAUUGUAUGUAAAAGAAUUAAAUGCUUCAGUGAAGACAGAAAUUGUUAGGCUGAGACAUGUAAAGUCACUUGUAUACUUUUUAUAAGAAUCAUUAAAACACAAGUGCAAAAAGGUAGAAAAGGAAUGGGAAAAGUUAUACCACAAUGAUAUUAACCAACAUAUGCUGGCUUAGCCAUAUUAAUAUCAGUGGGAAAAUAGAUCCCAAGGUGAGAAGCGGGCUUUGGAAGGGUCACUUCAGGCAGUGCCAUCAAAAUGGUCCGGCAGGCAGCUCUGAGCUCCAUCUACCAAGAGAAACAUCUAGGGCCAACCAGAGCGACCAGAAUUAACUUUGUCAGAACUCUGGAACACAGCAACUAAGAAACUGUGAGCGAAGAGACAGCAACUUCAUUUUUGUUUUUUUUUUGUACCGGAGAUCGAACUCGGGGGACCUUGCGAUUGUGAGGCAGGUGCUGGAACCACUGAGCUAAAUCCCCGGCCCCGAGACAGCAACUUCAAAACAGCGGGGAGGCCAAGGCCACUCUCACCUCACCCACCCACCCUGGAGACAGCAGCCAGGGCUGAGGGAGCAGGGGCCUCACUCCCAGUCCCUGCGAGCCGCCUGGAGGACAGAGGCCGGUGCCUUCAUCUGUUGUGCCUAAUUUGGAACUUACUUGGCGCAUUGGAUGGCGGGAAACAACCUGUAGCAAGACUGAGACCCGACAGAUGACCCACGCAGUGGGAGAAAAGAUCAGGGAGAGAAUUUCUUUGGAGACUCAGGGCAUUCAAAAGUGCAGGUGUAUCCAGGAGAAUUUGCAAAGCCACACCCACACCCAUGACGAGAUUCAUGCGCAGAAAAGUCCUGGAGAGACCUUAGGGUUCAUCUUUGGCUGAUCCCGGUGCUCAGAAUGCGAAUCACAGUGCAGAGCUUCGAGGAGAGGACCAAAGGAGGCAGGCGAGGUCUGCGUGCCUGUCAGGCAAGGCAGCCCCGGUCCACACCCUCGCUGAGCACCAGGGGCACACCUGACAGGGGAUCGGGUCUCUGGGCAAGAGGGAUGGGAAAGUUACUGGGUCAAAAGAUGAUUACAGACAAACAGUGAAAAGUAAAUGCUGAGGAAGGUGGAGAAUUCGAUUUCCAGAGCUAUCACAUUAUAAUAUUAAGAUAUUCUGUUCUCAACAACAAGACCUUAUCUAAGAACGUCGUGCCUGGCAAUCCUAAGCACUGCUGGAUGGAUGGAUGAACAAACGGGAAGAUGGACUGGGCCAGAUUCUCAGAGUGUUUAAGCAGGACACGAGCAUGCCUGUGCUUCUGCCCCGCAGACAUUUACCCGGGACUUCUGCCUAACGGUUGACUGCCAUGCCUACGUGUGGAAUUCGGUCCGUUGAUGUCUCCUAGAAACACUGCUGCUAGUGCUGCUGCUGCUGCUGCUGCUGCUGCUGCUGUGUGCUCUUCCUUCGGCUUCCAUGAGCUCCUUGACUGGCAGUGUCCCCAGGGCUCCAUUUGUCGCUUGGCUGCAGGCACUGGGUGCUGGUCUACAAGCUCCCUCUGGGCCCGGCGCCCUUUCUCACUGUGCAGCAGCAGAGGGCAUUGUCUAGGUACAGCUGCCAACGGUGGACUGCAGAAAGCGUAAUGCUGAGUCACUGCCCAUCAGCGAGCACUGUACGGGUUAAGGAGUAAUCUGGGAUGGGAGCGGCUGCCCAGAGGUGAACUGCGUCACUGCUUGUCAUUUCCACCCUACAAGAAGGAGUGUAUAGGGCUGGUCAGAAAAUAGGUGUGGGGCGGGGGAUUCAGCUCAGUGGUUCUGGUGCCUGCCUCCCAAGUGCAAGGCCCAGAGUUGAUCCCCAGUACCAAAAAGCAAAGCAAAACAAAUAUGGUGUGUUUCAAAUAAAAGAAAAAUUAUUGCAAUAAAAGACACAUUGGCAUCAAUCCCCCUCAGAAUCCUCCCCCUCACUUUGAACACACUUAUCCCAUUUUCUUGCCGCUUUCUGAAGCAGUUCUGGAGUCCUCUUUCAUGAGUGUCUUUACAAGGUGUAAUAAAAAAUAUGAGGAAUGCUGAUGCUGAGUGUCAUCCAACGGAAAACAUAAAAACACCACAGUGUGUUCUCAUCUACUUCAUUCACCACACCCAGCACUGUGGGACUUUUGGUUCUUCUCAAAAGUCAAAAUGACCAUGAAAGACGAACAGUUUGAUUCAAUUCAGGGCACUGAGGCAGACACAACAGUACAACUAGAAAAAUUCAUGAAAGAGGACUCGAAAACUGCUUCAGAAAGGAACAAGAAAAUGGAAUAAAUGUGUUUAAAGUAAGGGCAAGUGUGUUGAGAGGGAUUCAUAGCAAUGUAUCUUUUAUUAUAGUAAAUUUUUUAAAACUUAAAAAUUCAUAUUUUAAUGAUACUUCAAACAUCAUAUUAACUUUAUUCACUUCAUAGAUGUAUUACAUUGGGGUGCAGCUCUGUGGCAGAUCGCUUGCCGAACACAUACAAGAUAGCUCGAGAGUCAAUCCCCAACCCUGAAAAAAAUUACCUCAAAUGCUAAUGACAUUCGAUGGACUCCAAAACAUUUUUAAAUGAAAAAAUUGGAAGAGAUAAUUAAUAAGGAUUCGUCUAGCUUUUUGAUGAGCGUAUGAAGUCUUUGCAAGCUCUUACUGUUUCUCCAGGUGAGUCCUAUCUCCAUACAUGGUCACAAUUUCCUUCCCUGUCACCAGAAGGAACCGCACUCACCUGUGUGCCGUCAGAACAGCUCAAACAUCCAUCACACAGGCUGCCCGAGCCUGAGGGGAGCUGCUGCUUCAAGACGUUUGCUGUUCCUCAGCCUUGCUCAUGAUUUGCUAGGAGGUCGUCAUGCUGUCCUUCUGUGCUUCCCUCCGGUCCCAGACAGACCUGUUACUGGUCCACACUGCUCUGCACCCAUGGUCCCGUCUGCCCUGCUCUUCCCCUCCUUCGCCACCAUGCCCUUUUCUCGUCUCUCCUUGUCAAGCUCUUGCUCAGAUUCCCAAUUUCUAGGCUAGCGCUGACAUUCUCUGUCACCUUGUUUUUUGCUAUUCUUAUAUAGGAUUCUGUUUCUUUAUUAGUGCAUGUUGAUUACACCAAAUAAUGGGUGUCACCGCGGCAUAUUCAUGUGCACAUCCAUCCCCAUCAUACUUCAGUCAGGUCUGUCCCAGAGCCUUCUUCACCUCCCUCCAUCCCUUCCUCUCCUCUGUCUUCUUUCCAGAAGUCUGUGUUCUUUCACAUCAUCUCUUUUUUCUAUGCAUGAAAGAAAACAUGUGAUACUUGUCUUUCUGUAUCUAACUUACUUUACUCAACAUGUUGAUCUUCAGUUCUAUUUUUUUACAAAUGACAUAAUUUCAUUCCUCACUGUGACUGACUAAAGCUCCAUCGUGUAUGGAUUUCACUGUUUCUCCAGUCAUCUGUUGAAGGGGCAUCCAGGCUGGUUCCGUAACUUGGCGAUGUGACUUGUGCUGCAGCAAACAUGGAUGUGCAGGUAUCUCCACAGUAUGCUGACUUUAAUUCCUUUGAGUACAUACCUAGGAGGGAGGUAGUUGGAUCAUACUGUAGUUUUUUUUUUUUUUUUGGUUUUUAAUAUGAGUUCUAUAAAUACCUGAGUCCUGUGAUUUCCUUAUUUGCUUUGCAGUUCAUUUGCUUGGGAGGUGUGGGAAGAUUGUCUUAAAAAGGUGAAUUCCUCAUAUGACAGAGUCUGGCCACAGUGGGAUCUGAUCACACAAACGACCCAGGUGUUCUGAUGAAAGUUGCUGUCCACGCUUCAGGCAGUGUUUAGGAUUUAAAUGAAUGAGCUUCAGGGGAUCUGUGAACCUUCAGAAUUUUUUUACAUUCUAUAUCUUUAUGUCCAUUUGUAUUUUUCUAAGGGAAGGUUUCCUAACUUUCAACAGACUAUUAAAGGAGCCUGUGUCAGAAUUUUUUAAAAAGCAAUCUAUUAAACCAUUAAAUGAGGGUUUCAGAUAAAAGAAAACUUCUUUGUUAUUUGAGGACUAAAACAUAAAUUCAAUAUUGAGGUCUGAUACAUACAUUUUACUGUACAGGGUACUUUGAGACAUCACACACACAGAUCAUGCCUUUCAGAUUGGCUAAGGACACAUGCACACCUGGGCUGCUUUGUUUCAAGGUCUAGAGCCCCAAGGCCUAGCAUCAAAGAGGCGGCACGUGUCUAUCAUGUUGGAGGAAAGAGUGUGCCGAAUUCCAUCCGCGAUUUUCAUGAAAUCAGUAGCUAGAGGAUUAAGAGUCUUGUCUGCAGAUUCUGCCUGGAAAAGAGACAGCCCUGAAGUGUAAACAGUUUUGUGCACCAAGAUCAGUGUAGAGCCUGGUCUCUCAUUCAUCAUGUUCUGGCUCUGUAAUUCUAGACACGUCAUUAGUAUUCCUGGGCUUCUGACGAUGGACUUCUUAUAGCAAUAGUGAUCUUUCUGCCAGGACAUAGGAUCCUAUGAUAUCAUGAGGCUCCCCAGAAUAUAGGCAUGGAUGCAGGUAUACAUACACACAAACCUAUAUACGUAUAUAUGCACACAUACAUAAGAUAUGUAUAAGUGGUGAAGCCCAACCGACCUCCAUUGCUGCUUGACAAAGUUCCAGCUGGGGGAAAGAAAGCAGGGAACACAUCGUACCCUCAUGUUUUAUUUUUUUCUUGCCAUAAUGUUUAUAAUUGUUACUCUGGUCACGGGAGUCAUUGUGUUUGUGACUAACAACAAACUCUCCAUGAGGCAAAUUGGCAAUGAUAUAUUGAAAUCUGAUCUGGCUCAAAAGUCUCAAAUUCCAGUUUCUCUUAGUUCUAUUGCCACAUCCACUCCUAAAGAAACCUCUCCUAAAACCCCCUCUGUUUUCCCACUAUUAUAACUCCCUCUCUUACUGCUGACAUUCUUUUUACUAAAGGGGUCUUAUAAAGAGAUUGAAAGGACAGACUUUAGAUGUAAGAAAUAGUGGGAAAUGGGAAAUAAAAAGAACGUUAAAACAGGUAAAUGCAUUAAGGAGGCAAGUUACUCAAUAUUUCUCAAAGUGCUGUAAAUAUCUCCUGCUCAUGGACUAUGAACCCAAAUGACAUUUAGUUAAGAUGAAUAGAGGUAAAAAGAACAUAGAGAGCUAAUAGCAAACUGUAUUAACCAUUGUGCAGUUUCUCAAGGGCUAGCUGGUGACCACAAGUUUGACAUUUAAUUUGAUUGUUACUUUCUGUUCUGCUUAGGUAUGGGACAAUGAGGGAACAAUUGCAGUUUUUAAGAAAUGUAUUCAUGAUGUUCAAUGAAAUGAAUCAGCUUAGAAAAAAUAUACUGUUUAACAAAAAUAACCUGUACCUCAUCAGAUAUUGCUAAGGCAACAUGUUCCGCCCAAUGCCUCUUCGCUAUUGCUUAAAGAUAUAAAAAUAAAUCAGACCCUGAGACUUCUCAGAGGGAACCUGAACAUUGCUUGUAAAGGUUCUUUUCUCAUCGCUGGCCCAGGACAUCUCCCCUUCCUACCCUACAUCGACUGCAGCUGGUCUGCGACAUAUAAGAUUACUUACACUCAGGCACUGGAAAUGUAGACGAGUAUAAAGAAAUAAAAAUUCUCUAUAGUACAUCCCAGAGGUAACAGCUCUCAUCCAGUGUCUUUUUGUUCCUAAGUAAAAAUUCAGGCAGCCCUCAUUUUAGCUAGGCAUUGUCUAGAGACAUUCAACAUGUGUCUGAUAAAAUGAUACAGAAGCUAGGUACAGCACGUGCCUGUAGUCCCAGAUACUUGGGAGGUUGAGGCAGGAGGGCGGCUUGAGCCUAGGAGCUGCAGGCCAACCUGGCCAACAUAGUGAGACACUGUUAAAAAUAAACCGUAAAAUAACAUGAUGCUUGUACCAUGUUUCAUUUUUAUUUAAAAAACAAAUGUUAGCUCAAGGGAUAGGAUGAAGUUGAGAAUUAUAUAAGUAAUAAAUGCAUAAGCACAGUGCUUAUAUUUAUAUAAACAAAACAUCAAAUGCACUCUGUACAGCAGCUAUACACUUGGGCAAUGUAUGAUCAUUUUUUAAUAAUAGGCAUCUUUUAUCACAAAACACAAGAAUACCAUGGGGCUGCCACCUUCUAGAUGCUAUUUCAGGAUGGAAACAAAACUGCAAAAAUCAGAGUCUACUUACUGAUUUGCAACACAUCCC